CUCAGCGGCUCGGCGGGGCGGGAGGUGGCGGCGGCUGCUGCCCCCGGGCUCCCCGGGGCUCCUGCUCCCCUGGGGCUCCUGCCCCUCGGUGCCAUGCCCUCCACGCCAUACGACGUCCCCCUGCCCCGCAGCUCAGCGGUGCCGCCGGGCCCGGUGAGAGCAGCUGUGUGAGGGGAAUGGCUGUCUUCUUAAAGGCCGCUGCGGGCCUGUCCCCGCCUGGGGAGCCUCCCCCUGACCUUGAGUUAAAGUCCCGUGUGACGAGUGCGGGGGUGAAACCUUGAGUGGGGGGAAAAAAGGGGCCUCGAAAGUUGCGCUGUGGCCGCAGAUGGGCCGGUUGGGUCACAGAGCAAGGAGGGAGCGUUGGAUGGCUUCCCCACCCGAGAGAGGAUAAUGUAUGCAUGCAGCUGACAAAUUAUUCCAUUAACAAGAACAGAGCUAAUUCUGCUGGAGAAAAAGACACUGGGAGGAAGAGCCUGGGCUGCUACCAUCAGCCUCUUCCUUACCACCAGUUCGGGCUGUUCCAGCUCGUCCCAGCGCUCCCGCAGGGUCCCGCAGCCGCUGGCUGAUGCGUGGCCGGCAGAGGGGGAUCGACUACACCGAAUCACUGGGAAAACGGGAACUGUGCUCCCGGUCACACGCCUGCAGGAGUCCUCAGCUUUGUGGGCAGCUUCACUCCGGUUCUUUGCUCACAGGAGCCUUUCAGAGCUCUCCCUUAUCCUCGGUGGAAGCUACUGGGUAGUGGAAGGGUCAGACUGGGGCUCCCAGAGAGCAGCAGGUUCAUGCCAGUUCCUCCCAGCACACACCGGGUUGGUACCAGCUCUACAAUCAACCCGAGGCUGUAAUUUCAACCAGAGAGUGUUUCCCUCCUUGCAGUACGUGUCUAAACCACCUGCCAUCCCUCUGCCCAGAACAGCCUGGAUAAGAAGGCCUUUUUUUCCAGCUUGGGUGACUUGUAACCAAACCCUUGUCAAGAACAGCAGCAAAACUCCACAGUUCCUGGGCCACCUCUGAACUUGGGUGCUGGGAUGGAUGCAUCCUCCAGGGAUGGGGCACCCACAACCCCCCUGGGCAACCUGUUCCACCCCCUCACUACCUUCAUGGUGAAGAAUUUCUUCCUGAUGUCUCACCUAAAUCUCCCCUCUUCCAGUUUAAAACCAUCACCCCUUCUCCUCUCGCUGACCUCUCUGGUGAAGCAGAGGAGUGGAAGCUACAAAUAAAUUUGAGGCCAAAGGAAGAGGAGAAGAAAGAAGAUGGUAAUACCUCUCUGGCCAAGAACUGUCACCUUCCAGGAGUGUUCUCCACAGAAAGGAUGCUAACCAGCCAGGAGGGAUGUGCAUUCAGUGAAAAAGGUUGUGUUUCAGAGAAAAAGGUUGUGUUUCAGUGGGGCACAUCACUUCCCAGGUUUGGCUUCACACUGGAGCAAGGGGAGAUGUGAGUUACUCAGCAGGUGAUUUUUCUUCCCUCUGACUCAGCAUUGUACCCUCAGCACACUGUUUGUGGGCAAAGCAUGGGGAGAGCAAGAGGUUCCUAAUUUUAAUUUGGAAGUGAUUUAGGAAUGAAGGAUUGAGCACUGUUAAGAGGGGAACUGAUUUGCUUUGUGUGCUAGAUGAUUAAUCAGCAAUAUUCAGUGUAUGAAAACUGUCUCUGCAGUGAUGUAUUGACUUGGUAGAAGCUCUAGCUGGAAGGGAAGACCUUGAAGGUGCCAUUUUCUGCUGCCUUUCUUUGACCAUCGUGUCAUUGUCGUUACUGGAAACAAUUCAGGAUAAAUAUCCUGACAGAAAGAGGAUUUUUGGGAUCUGGUUUGCAGGUUUUUCAGCAUGGGUUUAAUAGAAUCUGUGGGAGGAAUGUCACAAGCUGGGGGGGAAGGGUUUUCUUUCUGUCCCUGUGUGAUUUCAGUCCAUCUCCAGAGCAUGGAUGUGUCCUGCAGCCCUGCAGUAGCAGUGUGGAGUGGCUGGUCUCAGUUUUCAUCUGAUUUGAGGCAAAAAGGCCUCCUGUAUCUGACAAAUUGCUUCAGUGGAGAAGGAGGUUUCUUUUUCAAGGGCAAUUUCCAAAAAUGUACAUUUAUUUACUGCACAUGAACAAAACUGUAGAGAAGGAAACACUGUCCCCACCCAAAGCCCUCACAACAUCUGCCCUGAUAAAAGAAGGAUUUGGGGCUGUUGGUUGUUUCUCUUCCAGCAACAGAACAAAUCUAAUCCAGUGCCUCAUUCUGCCUGAUCUUCAUCCCUGUGCCCUGAGCCUGCUGCUGUUCAUUGUGCCAGGGUGGGGCUCAGCACUUCUGCUUUGAGCUUCACCUGUGGAACUACAGGAGGAAAAUGCUGUUGUUUUGUUGUGAGAGUUGUUGUCUGCUUCAGAGGCAGUUACAAGUGCUGUCCAGCUGUUUUCUGUUCAAUGGUUUCAGGUCAAAGUCACUGCAGGAAGGUGGAGAGUGAGCAGCUGACUGAGCAGAGGAUGAAAACCUCUGCCCCAGCAGAACAGCAACAUAACCCAAUAUUAAAAGGUGAGCAGCUGGGCACAAGGAUGAAGAUCGGGCAGAAUGAAGCACUGGAUUAGAUUUGUUCUGUCUUCAUGUGAUGCCAUCCUCACUUUUUUCCUAGCUCAUUUUUAACAGCAGCCAAUUCUGUAACACAGCCUGAGCUGCUGUUCUGCAUUUCCCUGACCUCAGCAGUGCUGCCCCCAGAAUGAAUUUAGUCCCUACCAUCAAUCUACUUCUGAAUCAGCUCCUUAUCCGAGCUAUUUAGCCUUGGGAGACAGAUGUGUCUGCUUUAGGGAAGAUAAUUCCAAUGCAGGGCAUUGAUAAAAUAGUAGUCUUUUCCUAUAUUUUAAUAGAAGUUUUGGUAGAAAUGAAGGAACCUACUGGAAGACUGUUCCUAUGUAAAAAUGCAGUCCAAGGAAGGUGGCUGGAAACCACCACGGAUUUGACACAGAGUUAUUCAGGUCACUGUGGGAAGGAUUAUGUGAGCCUGGAAAGUGGUCAUGAAUUGCCUCCUUGCUCUUUUUCUAGCACCUAGAUAAUCAGCACCCUGAUUCACUGCCCUGUGAUACCCACAUGGUGGAAGGAGAGGUGAGAGAUCUGCCUGCAGGUGGAGGGAGAAAUUCCAGGUUUUUUUCAGAGACUAAAUACUGGAAUAAUAUUUGAGUAUAAAAGAGAAGGGAGAAGCACUCGUUCAGCUUAAGGACCAAAGGUUGUGAGGCAGCAAGCAAAGCAAGUAGUACCUUUUUCUUUUGUCCUUUCAGUUCUGGAACGAAAUGUAGAGUAAGAAAUGAAACGUGGCAGAUUAGAAACACUGUCUGGACAAAGCAUCCUUGGGAAAACAUGGUUAUGGCAAAAUUGUGGGUAAGGAAACUGAGGCACAGAGCUUGCUGCAGGUUGGCAGAGGUGAUCAUCUGUGCUACUGGACCUCUCUGGAGCUUCUUCUGUGGCCCACAGGGUGAGGAACAGAACCAAAUCUCGCUCUCUCCAUAGUGGAGUGGAGAGUUUUGAUAGCUUCAGCCUGGUUUGGGUUCCUGCUCCAGCUGUUUGAUAUAUUCAGGUCAUCAAACACUUCCUUUAAUUCUGAAAAAAAAUAAUUUCACUGAAAUAUUCUUCUUCCAAGGCAUCUCUUUCAGUAGCAGAAUCUCAAUAAAUGAGGCUUUGUGACUAUAAAA